GACGAACGCUGGCGUGCUUAACACCUGCAAGUCGAACGGUGAAGCUCCAGCUUGCUGGCGUGGAUCAGUGGCGAACGGGUGAGUAACACGUGAGCAACCUGCCCCAGACUCUGGAAUAAGCGCUGGAAACGGCGUCUAAUACUGGAUACGAGAUCAAGCCGCAUGGUUAUGGUCUGGAAAGUUUUUCGGUUUGGGAUGGGCUCGCGGCCUAUCAGCUUGUUGGUGAGGUAAUGGCUCACCAAGGCGACGACGGGUAGCCGGCCUGAGAGGGCGACCGGCCACACUGGGACUGAGACACGGCCCAGACUCCUACGGGAGGCAGCAGUGGGGAAUAUUGCACAAUGGGCGAAAGCCUGAUGCAGCGACGCCGCGUGAGGGAUGACGGCCUUCGGGUUGUAAACCUCUUUCAGCAGGGAAGAAGCGAAAGUGACGGUACCUGCAGAAGAAGCACCGGCUAACUACGUG
rnacentral:rRNA from 1 species